rnacentral:rRNA from 1 species
AUGGUGCAACCACCAUCAUGUCGAGUGUGCAAAUCAAGGUGUGCAACUGGCACGUUGUUCGGCAUCUACUUCCAGUCGUGUUUUGUUCCUACAGUGAUUGUCCCUUGCAAUGUGAUAUUAGAAUUCAGUGAGCUCAUUACUGGAGACACUGUGAUCUUCGACGCUCCUGGGGACACUACACUAUGGAGGUUGAUGAGUGAUAUUUUUACACUCAUUUCAACCUUGUUUAAACUGAAUUAUUUCACUAAAAGAGAGAUAUAUGUUUCAAUAUUGCCACUAAUGACUAAUGAAUGCAAAGGAUUCCACAAAUACUCUCUUUGUUAUUUUUUCCACAGGAAAUGGGCUAAAAAGGUAAGAGAUCACAUGGGAGAUAGGAAAGGAAGGAAAAUGGAGAAGAAAUAA